rnacentral:rRNA from 5 species
ACAACGACUCUCGGCAACGGAUAUCUCGGCUCUCGCAUCGAUGAAGAACGUAGCGAAAUGCGAUACUUGGUGUGAAUUGCAGAAUCCCGCGAAUCAUCGAGUCUUUGAACGCAAGUUGCGCCCUAGGCCAUCCGGCUGAGGGCACGUCUGCCUGGGUGUCACGC